rnacentral:lncRNA from 1 species
UCUUGUUUAUAUUUUAAGUUUUAUUCCCCGUGAGUGUAUUCCCUUCCUAUCCCUCGCAUUCCCGAGUCAGGUAGGUAAUCGACUGUCUGGGAAUACAAAAGUAGCCAUCUUAGGACCACAGACCUCAACCUGGAAACGAUGUAUUCUGACCUCCGUGUAUGACUCUCUGUUUGUUUCAUGGGCCAAGUCUGAGGCUAAGCUGUGAGGGCCCACGGCUGGCACGCUCAGGCUCGCACUGGUCUCAUCAGCCAAUCAGGGUGUCUGCAAGUGCAGAAGAGGAUGCUGGAGGCUCUGCAACCUUAGCCCUCCCGUUAUUGGUUUGAGGUGGGAGUUUGGGCUGGUUUGAGGGUGGAGGAGAGUAGAUAAGUUCCAUUCAUCUUUGUGUAGAAAGAAGCCCCACUAUCACCGACCUCGGCUACUGUCUGAGGCAGGCAGGUGGCUUGAAUCAUAUAUCAUAGGAUGACUCAUUGUGUGCAAAGAAGCCCUUUUUCCUUUCUGGGGUAAAUGGGCAGAUGGAUAGCCACCAUGUGAGUCACAGGGCCUGGGGCCCAAAUAGCUGUGCAGAUGGAGAAAAAAAUGAGAUCCCGUGCAGGAGGUGCCGACCUCAUCAGAAUGGGGGCCUGCCCCCUGCGUGCACCGCACCUGGCAGACACUAGAAUACACAGAGACACCAAAGCCCCCGUGGCAAAGGAGGCCUGGAGACUCGGCAUGGUGGUGGCUGCCACCAGGACCUUGGCCGCCUUUCAAAGUAGAAAUGAUCAGAAACUUGGAAAGAAACUCAGUGUGGAAGAAAUUAGAACGGAGGCUGUGGAGUGCCAGGGUCAGUCUAAUCCUGGCUCUAAAUAUCAUGUGAAGAUGACCAGGCGUGGGAACGGCCACCUCAGAUGGAUUAUGUGAACAUCCAGGCUUUACUUUGCUCGUGAGUCCAUUUGGGAAAGGUAAAAUCAGGAACAGUAACUUUGGGACAGCCUGUGUUGGUGAUGGUUUCAGCUUUGACCAAAAGCUACCUGGACUCUAAUCAGCUGCAAAGUGAGAGAGCUGCAGCCAUGUAGAUCCUGCCAGAGCCCUGUGCACUUCAGCCACUUUAUGGCAAUUGGGUUACUGGAAAGUCAAUUUUUUUGCAGUGAGUAAAUUCAUCUCAUCGUGCAGAGGAAACUCAGGGGAGGUCUUUUGUCACAUGGUUAUCCUCUGAUUUAUCAUCCAGGUAAAUAUGGAUUUUUCCACUCUUACUUGUGUGUAUUAAUCACUAUAAAGAAACUUCUCACUUAUAUGUCUAUGAGCCAAAGAAACUUCCUAAUAAUACUGUAAAACAAAUCAGAAGUUCUCAAUAUUUAAUCAAAGGGAAACAUCUGUGUUAACAUAUCAAUCAUGUCUGGCUUUGAUGCCCCUCCAAUGACCUUGGGAUUACUUUUGAGGACCCCUGAUCUUAUUUCCACCUCAGAUGGCAGCUGAAAACAGACUCUAGGGCACCAUAUCUGAGUCAUUUGGUUUUAAGGAGGCCCUGAAAACUCGAACACUUCCUAUAGUGGCAGGGUGUGCUGGGACCUCUGACAAAGCCUGGCUCCCAUGGACAUUGGACCCUGCUGGCUUAAUCACAUCACCUUUCUGCCUCUUGCCCUCUGUCUGGCCUCCUGCCCACAGCAGUUAUCAAAGGAAAGUAUGGUUCCUCCACUUCCAAAGAAGCCCUGAAUGGUCACUGAGAGUUGCACUGGCCUUGGGGAAGGAGCUUGUGGCACUUCCCAUCUGGCUGGCUU